rfam:Sorghum bicolor cultivar BTx623 chromosome 5, whole genome shotgun sequence.
AUUCCAUGAUGGGGACAUUCUAGGAUGUAGUCUUGAAAGCGCUCCCAUGCUUCUCGAACAGAUUCAUCAUUUUGUUGCUGAAAACUUGUAAUCUUCCCACGGAGAGC